GACGAACGCUGGCGGCGUGCUUAACACAUGCAAGUCGAACGGAAAGGCCCUGCGUUUGUGGGGUGCUCGAGUGGCGAACGGGUGAGUAACACGUGAGUAACCUGCCCUUGACUUUGGGAUAACUUCAGGAAACUGGGGCUCAUACAGGAUAGGAGCUCCUGCUGCAUGGUGGGGGUUGGAAAGUUUCGGCGGUUGGGGAUGGACUCGCGGCUUAUCAGCGUGUUGGUGGGGUAGUGGCUUGCAAAGGCUUUGACGGGUAGCCGGCCUGAGAGGGUGACCGGCCACAUUGGGACUGAGAUACGGCGCAGACUCCUACGUGAGGCAGCAGUGGGGAGUCUUGCACAAUGGGCGGAAGCCUGUUGCGGCAACGCCGCGUGCGGGAUGACGGCCUUCGGGUUGUAAACCGCUUUCGCCUGUGACGAAGCGUGAGUGACGGUAAUGGGUAAAGAAGCACCGGCUAACUACGUG
rnacentral:rRNA from 1 species